rnacentral:rRNA from 1 species
UACAGAGGUCUCGAGCGUUGUUCGGAUUCAUUGGGCGUAAAGGGUGCGUAGGUGGCUAGGUAAGUCGGAUGUGAAAUCUCGGGGCUCAACCCCGAAACUGCAUUCGAUACUGCCUGGCUAGAGUACUGGAGAGGAGAUUGGAAUUUACGGUGUAGCAGUGAAAUGCGUAGAUAUCGUAAGGAAGACCAGUGGCGAAGGCGGAUCUCUGGACAGUUCCUGACGCUGAGGCACGAAGGUCAGGGGAGCAAACGGG